rnacentral:tRNA from 1 species
GCAGUGGUGGCUAAGUGGUAAAAUUCUCACCUUCCAUACGGGAGACCUGGGUUUGAUUCCCAGCUGAUGCA